CGCGCGUACACACACACACACACACACACACACACACAAUGUCACGAUGACAAUGUCUGUGCGGGAAUGCCGGAACGAUCUCGAAACUGAAAUCCGAUAUACGAAUAACAUUGACAGAACUUUGUAGAAAAUUAACAGCUUAAUAAAUGAAGAAGAGUUUAUUGCUCUUGGAAUACCGUGUAAUGAUAGAAAACAAUAUAGAAAGCAUGUGUCGAUAACGAAUAUUCAACUAAUCAUACUGUUACGGAAAAAACAUCAGAUGCAACAACGUCGAUGAGCGAGUAUUUCGCGCGUGAUGAAUAUUACACAAAAGCGUUUGAUCGUGUGUCCUAUUCGCAUGUCAACAGCGAAUUCAUUUACGAGGCAAUGGAAUCUUCUGAAAAAGAUUAGUGGAUCAAGAUUUAUGGACUAAUGGAUACAUUUAGUAUUACAAUUCACAUACAAGAGCGCACACAAGAUGUUAUAAUACUGAAUGUACCUAUUUAAUAUCACCGCAUUUAGUGUGAUUUAGGACCAAUUGUAAAGAGCCGAUAUAAAGAGCUGAUAUAAAGAGAUAACAUCAUCUUAUGAGUCAACGCAGCAUGACUAAGCAUCCGAUAGGCCAUUCAUGGAUAACAUCAUUAAUUAUUGAUUUGUUAGACGAUUUCAGUGAAUUAUAUACUAUACUGAAACGGAAAUUGUUAAGCAAACACGCUAAGCAACAAAAGGAAAAAGACAGGUUGAUUAGGGACCAUUUUGUCUCUGUCUAACGAAUUUUGAUCGAUUAAUGAUUUUGUUUUUUAUUAUAAACAUCAGUUUUUUUAAUCUUCUUAAUUCGAUUGACUAGUCGAUAGCUGUCAAAUACUUUCAUAUGACUGCAGCUUGUUAUUAAUCUUCAUAUAAUUAUAAUUAUUAUAAAAUAUAUAAACUUAUUAUGUAUAAAGAUCUACUUUACUGAAAAAUAAAAUAAAAUUGAUAAAAUUGCUUGUUACAUGUUGCAUUGCAAUGAAUAAAAUCAAUGAAUAUCACAAACUA